rnacentral:RNase_P_RNA from 1 species
UCAGCCGGCCGGGCGGCCGCUCCCGUCAUGCGGGGGAGGAAAGUCCGGGCUCCAGGGAGACACGGUGCCGGAUAACGUCCGGCGGGGGCGACCCCAGGGACAGUGCCACAGAGACAUACCGCCCGCCGCCGGGGAUUCCUCGUCCGGCGGGUCAGGGUGAAAAGGUGCGGUAAGAGCGCACCGCGGACGCGGCAACGCGGACGGCCAGGCAAACCCCACCGGGAGCAAGAUCGAAUAGGGGUGGCACGCGCCGCAAGGCGCAGGGCAGGUCUCCAGGCCCGUCGCCCGGGUUGAUUGCUCGAGGCGGCCGGCAACGGCCGCCCCAGAGGAAUGGCCGCCACGCCCGGGCUCGCGCCCGGGCCCUACCGAACCCGGCUUACAGGCCGGCUGACGCC